CGAGCAGACUGAACGGCAGCGUGCGCGGGCGCCGGUUUCCGGCGUGGGCCGAAAGGCAUGCGCAUGAGGAAAGUCCGAGCUCCGCAGGGCGGGAUAGCUGCUAACGGCAGCCGGGGGCGACCCUAGGGAAAGUGCAACAGAGAGAUACCGCCGUCCGUUUCCGGGCGGCAAGGGUGGAAAGGCGAGGUAAGAGCUCACCGGCGCACUGGAGACAGUGCGGCCAUGUAAACCCUAUCCGGAGCAACACCGUACAGUUCGCGGAUGAACCACCGGCGGCCCGCCGGCAUCCGCGGCAAGGUGGCUGGAUUUACCCGGCGACGGGUAAACAAGAUAGAUUGCCGUUCUCGACAGAACUCGGCUUAUAGGUUUGGUCGAAAG
rnacentral:RNase_P_RNA from 1 species